rnacentral:rRNA from 1 species
UGGGGAAUAUUGCACAAUGGGCGCAAGCCUGAUGCAGCCAUGCCGCGUGUAUGAAGAAGGCCUUCGGGUUGUAAAGUACUUUCAGCGGGGAGGAAGGGAGUAAAGUUAAUACCUUUGCUCAUUGACGUUACCCGCAGAAGAAGCACCGGCUAACUCCGUGCCAGCAGCCGCGGUAAUACGGAGGGUGCAAGCGUUAAUCGGAAUUACUGGGCGUAAAGCGCACGCAGGCGGUUUGUUAAGUCAGAUGUGAAAUCCCCGGGCUCAACCUGGGAGCUGCAUCUGAUACUGGCAGGCUUGAGUCUCGGAGAGGGGGGUAGAAUUCCAGGUGUAGCGGUGGAAUGCGUAGGGAUCUGGAGGAAUACCGGUGGCGAAGGCGGCCCCCUGGACGAAGACUGACGCUCAGGUGCGAAAGCGUGGGGGGCAAACAGG